rnacentral:tRNA from 1 species
AUAUAAAUAGUUUAAAUAAAACGUCGAAUUGUGGUUUCGAAAAUGUAAUUAUUACUUUAUAUA